rnacentral:miRNA from 1 species
GGUCCAGAAGGGAGCUAGG